UAGGGAAUCUUCCGCAAUGGACGAAAGUCUGACGGAGCAACGCCGCGUGAGUGAAGAAGGAUUUCGGUUCGUAAAACUCUGUUGUUAGGGAAGAAAAAAUGUAUAGUAACUAUAUACAAAAGAGACGGUACCUAACCAGAAAGCCACGGCUAACUACGUGCCAGCAGCCGCGGUAAUACGUAGGUGGCAAGCGUUGUCCGGAAUUAUUGGGCGUAAAGCGCGCGCAGGUGGUUUAGAAAGUCUGAUGUGAAAGCCCACGGCUCAACCGUGGAGGGUCAUUGGAAACUAAUAAACUUGAGUGCAGGAGAGGAAAGUGGAAGUCCUAGUGGAGCGGUGAAAUGCGUAGAGAUUAGGAGGAACACCGGUGGCGAAGGCGGCUUUUUGGCCUGCAACUGACACUGAGGCGCGAAAGCGUGGGGGGCAAACAGG
rnacentral:rRNA from 1 species